UUUUUUAUCUAAAAGUACUUUUAGAGGGCCAGAAAGUGCUUUUUGGCCCUCCAAAAACUCCCACAAACAGGACCUUAGUGUGCAUGUGCCAAAAAUAAACAUAAGCACUUCUACCUAGAGAAGAAAAAUCAAAAUAAACAUCAAAACUAUGAAUGGUUAGUCUAUCCGUAGUUCCUCCUUCCACCUUUGGAUGAAGAAUAGGUGUUCCUUUGGUUUGAUAAUGCGAGGUGAAGAUUUUUCAACAAACAUAGCAUUUUGGUUCUAACCCCGCUCACAUAUUCGAGCAAACGAAAUUAAGGAUCCUUCUUACCUUUGCUGUGAGGUCCAUGAAUGUUUUGAUGCAGGUUAAAAGAUGGCACCUACAAAGACUUUGGUCGCUAAUAAAAGCUUCUUUGCUGCUGUUAUUUUUAAGUUUUAAAUGUUGGUAUGUAGCUUUAGCUCUUGUAAUAUGUGCUUUUCUAGUUUGGUUUUUUGUCUACAGCUAUAUGAUUUUGCAAGGCAAGCAGUUGCUUUCUAAUCUGAAGUUUAAAUUUAGAUGGCUUUAGUUCUUAUUUCACUCUUCUACCAGUGAAAUGAAUUAGGGUCGGCUUACUUUUUUUUAUCAAAGAGUUCAAAUCUCUUUAAGCUACGAGAAAUUUGGCUGCUGGCUGGCAA
rnacentral:lncRNA from 1 species